GAUGAACGCUAGCGGCAGGCUUAACACAUGCAAGUCGAGGGGUAGAAGGAGCUUGCUCCUUUGAGACCGGCGCACGGGUGCGUAACGCGUAUGCAAUCUACCUUUUGCAGGGGGAUAGCCCAGAGAAAUUUGGAUUAAUACCUCAUAGUAUGUGAGGAUGGCAUCAUUUUCACAUUAAAGUCACAACGGCAAAAGAUGAGCAUGCGUCCCAUUAGCUAGUUGGUAAGGUAACGGCUUACCAAGGCUACGAUGGGUAGGGGUCCUGAGAGGGAGAUCCCCCACACUGGUACUGAGACACGGACCAGACUCCUACGGGAGGCAGCAGUGAGGAAUAUUGGACAAUAGGGCGGCAAGCCUGAUCCAGCCAUGCCGCCGUGCAGGAUGACGGUCCUAUGGAUUGUAAAC
rnacentral:rRNA from 1 species